UACGUAGGGGGCAAGCGUUGUCCGGAAUCAUUGGGCGUAAAGAGCGUGUAGGCGGCCGAUAAGUCCGCCGUGAAAGUCCAGGGCUCAACCCUGGAAUGCCGGUGGAAACUGGCAGUCUCGAGUGCGGGAGAGGUGAGUGGAAUUCCCAGUGUAGAGGUGAAAUGCGCAGAUAUCGGGAAGAACACCUAUGGCGAAGGCAGCUCUCUGGGACGGUACUGACGCUGAGACGCGAAAGCGUGGGGAGCGAACAGG
rnacentral:rRNA from 1 species